UCUUCUCGUUGAAUCUGCAAACGGGUCAGCUGGACAGACCGGCAGGUGGUGCGCCCUGUGAGUAACGCGGCAACAGAUCGCGAUGGGAAUUCCCGAAAACGAAGUGACUGCGCAAUCUUGGAGAUGUCUUAGCUUUUGAUCAUUUCUGAGCUUGGCUUUCUACCCUUCCCAUUGGUAACAAGAACUCCAGGAUUUUUCAAGUAAGUGUCCUUUUGCUUAAUUUAGCUAAAGUUGGUUUCCAUUGCUUGCAGUCU
rnacentral:lncRNA from 1 species